AGAUGUUUCCCCAUCAGGGUUCAGUAAAGAUAAAUAAUGUUUGUCUCUGUUCUUUUGAAGCCCAAUUCAGCAGGAGAGACCAGCCUCCCCUGUACCCAGCUGUGUGUCCAUGAAGAGUGGCAGGUCUAUGAAUCCUCCUUUAAACUUCAGGGAGGGAGACUUUUCUACUGAACAAAGGAGAGCAGUGCCAAAGACAGGAAGAACAUGAACCAGAAGAAGCUUGCUGACACACUGGAGAAAAGUACAGGACACUUGAAAGCGAUUCAGCGAUAGAGGACUGGUUGGUGCCCAGAGAGUUUGGCUUAAAAGGACAACUGUGAGGUGGCUGAGAUGAGAAGGAUCUCACAGACACAGACUGUUCUAUAGCUAUGAGCAGACUCUACCCUGGGGGCGCCGCACAUCUACAGUGAUGUUUGGUUCCUGAGCUGGACUAAUUUUAGUCCUGACGAUUCUGCCAUGAUAUGGAGAAGGCAACCUCCAACCGAGAGGAUGGAGGCGAAGGAAAGCUCCGGUUCUGAACAACGUUAACCAGGGUGCGGAAAGACCAACUGCACAACAUAAUGCCAUGCUGAUUGGAUCCAUACCAGGUACGUCUCAUCUGCUGUCCAGGUAGCUGAGAGAGGAACCUGGGGUCGACGACACGCUACAGGAGGGCUUCGGUGU